CCUUAGGUGUUCCUGCCUGCAGAGGCUCUGUCUCUCCUUUUCUAGAGUUCUAUUGGCUCUGGAGGCUGCUGCCUUCGCCUGGUAGAAGGCGGCUGUAAAGGAACCCAGGACACUGAAAUGGGAAGGCUGUGUUGAGCCAGGUGAGCCCAGAGUUAUGCCUCCUUUAAAGUGGGUAUGGUAAACACACAUGUGCCACCUCUUUCAACAUUGUGUUGUGACACUACACAGCCAGGCGUGUAGCAAAAAGUUAUCAUUCCAGCUACUAGGAAGGCUAAAACAGGAAGAUUGGAAGUUCAAAAUGUUCCUGACUUAGAGUGAGUUCUUGCCAGCCUGGACAACUUAGUGAAACUCUUGAAAUGAAAAGUUAAAGAGAUGCUAGUCAUGGUGGUGCAUGGCUUUAGUCCCAGCACUCAGGAGGGAGGUCCUUCUCUAUUUUAGGAUGGUAUUUUGAACCCUCAUGCUGCCUCCUGUACCUGUGCUGCCUAACCCUAGCCCUAACCCUAGAUGGAUCUCUGUGAGUUCAAGGUUAGCCUGGUCUACAGAGUGAGUUCCAGGACAGCCAGGGCCACACAGUGAAACCCUGUCUUGAGAAAAAAAUAAAGGAAAGAAGAUAAAUAAAAAGAGAGGGGGAUAUAGGUAGGUGAUGGAGCACUUACUUAGCAUGUGAAAGGCCCAGAUUCAGGGAACCAAAGCCCCUAUCUUAUCAUGGCUAGAUCUUUUAAUGUCCUUGAAAUAGCUCCUCAUUUUAAAUUCAUAACUGAUUCAAGAAGCAUGAUCUUAUUUAUUUUGCUAAAUAUUACUAUGUAGGUUUGGUUUUUUGUUUUUGUUUUUUUUUCAAGACAGGGUUUCUCUGUAUAGCCCUGGCUGUCCUGGAACUCACUCUGUAGACCAGGCUGGCCUCAAACUCAGAAAUCCACCUGCCUUGGCCUCCCAAGUGCUGGGAUUAAAGGCGUGAGCCACCAUUGCUCAGCUAUACUAUGUAGUUUUAAAACAUGAGAUGCUAACAUGAGCAUAUUACUUUUAUUUCCACUCUCCUUAGUAAUGCAAAUUAUUUUUAAAUGUCUUAAAAAUAAUGUAGAAGCUGCCUAGUUAUGAUUUCCUUGGUUUAGUUUCAUUAAUAAUCUGUUAAGUUACUAGUUGAUAAAAAUAAAAAUUUAAGUCAGGCAUGGUGCAAUAUGGCUGGAUCCCAGCACUUAGGAGAUGGAGUGUCUCUUAUUUAGGGUUCCUGUUGCUGCGAAGAGGCACCAUGACCUUGGCAACUCUUAUAAAGGAAAAACAUUUACUUGGGGCUGACUUAAAGUUCAAAGGUUUAGUCCAUUAUUGUCAUGGUAGGAAACAUGGCGGCAUGCAUGCAGACAGACAUGGUGCUGGAGUGGUAGCAUCUGGAUUGACAGGCAGCAGGGAGAGAGAGUGACACUGGGCCUGGCUUAGACACCUGAAACCUCAAAACCCGUUCCCAGUGACACACAUUCAUCAACAAGGCCACACCUCCUAAUAGUGCCACUCCCUGUGAGCCUAUUUUCAUUCAAAUCACCACAAGAAAUUGCCACCUUUGGAAACCUGCUUGGGUUACAUAAAAAAUCUUAGGCCAGCCAGUCUUUUUAAUGAAGUCCUAUUUUUAAAAAUAGAGAGAAUUUUUAAAAAUAUUUAUUUUGUUUAUAUUUAUGAGUAGAAGAGGGCAUCAGAUCUUGUUCAACUAGACUAUAGAUGAUGUGAGCCACCUUAUGGGUGCUGGGAUCCACCUUGUGGGUGCUGGGAUAAAAUACAGGUCCUCUGCAAGAACAGCUGUGCUCUAAACCUCUGAACCAUCUGUGCAGCUCCUGAGAAAAAAUUUUAAGACAUUCCUUUAAUCUCCCAGCACUUGGGAGACAAAGGCAGGCAGGCCAUCUUAGUUGAUAGAGCAAAUUCCAGGACAGCCAAGGCUAUACAGAGAAACCCUGUCUUACUAUUUUUAGACUAGUUGACAGUUUCAUACGUUUAUACAAUGUGUCUUGAUCACACACACCUCCACUCUCCCUCCCACUUCCCUACAUCCUUUUCAGCAUGUUCCCCUUUCAUCUCCAUUUCCUCUUAUUUUUUUCUUUCAUAAGUUUUCUUUCAUGAGUUCAAUUAGUGCUGUCCACAUGCAUGUGAAUGUGGGGCAGAAAGAAAUUGCAAUUGGAGAGAUGCUAUGUUCUUGGCUGUAAAUACCAAGUAUACUUAAAUAUUUUAUUUGCUUGUUUACAGACUCUUACUGUGUAUCCUUGGCUAUCCUGGAACUCAAUAUUUAGACCAGGCUGGCCUUGAACUCAGAGAUCUGCCUGCCUCUGCUUCCCAAGUGCUAGGAUUAAAGGGUUUUCCAUCACUAAACUUAAUUUAAUCUUAAUAUGAUUCUACUAUAAAAACUUUAAUGAAAAUGAUAUAAUUUUAAACAUCAUUUUAAAAAUACUCCAAAACAAAAAAAUGGGGGCCAGUGGUGGCUCAUGCCUUUAAUCUAGCACUCCAGAGGCAGAGGUAGGCGGAUCUCUGUGAGUUUGAGACCAGCCUGUUCUACAGAGCAAGUUCCAGGAUAGUCAGCACUACACAGAAAAAUCUUGUCUUGAAAAAAACACAAACAAACACCCCACCCCACCCCAAUGGGAGAUAGUCAGAGACUCUAAAGUAUCACAGAGUAGCAUUCAGGGAUUGGUCUUUUUAAGUAUUUCAGGACACAACACAGAACCAUUGACGUUGCUGUAAAGCAUAAGUCUCUAGGUAUAAAUCUUAUAAAAUAUGGUGGACUUUGUGUUGUGAAAACUAGAAAGUGCUGAUAAAGGCAGUCAGCAAAAACCCUGGAUACCUCAAGUCAGACUGCCUCACGGAGGGGAGGCUCAGCAUACAUAGUGAGGGAGCUAACUUCCCAACUGACAGGUCCAGUGUAGUCAGAAUUUCAACAGGAUUCUCUAGGUACAGAAAGACUGAUUCUAAAGUUUAUAUGAAAGGAUGAAGGAAAUAAAGUAGCCAAAGCAGUUUUGAAAAAGAAGUCUCAAAGUUAGGUGUGGUAGCACAGGCCUUUAAUUCCAGUACUCAGGAAGCAAAGGCAGGUGGAUUUCUGUGGAUAGAGGUCAGUCCAGUCUACAUAGUGAGUUUCAGGCCAGCCAGGGCUACUUUAUGAGACUGUAUUUCAGGAAAAAAAAAAAAAGUAGAAAAAGGCAAGUCUGAACUUGCCAAGCUCCACUGGGCUUCUACAGGUUCUCUGUUGCUGUGGUCAGCAGCUACAGUGUAUCAGCAGAGAGGAUCAGGGACCUCUGGGAACUGAGCAGAGUCCAGCUGCCAACCCCAUCUUUCCAACCGUGGUGCUGAACCAUUGAAUGUUUCUGGACAAGGAAUGAACUUUGACCCAAACUACACUAUAGAUUAAAGGGAAUUCAAAUUGUAGCAAAGAUCUAACCAUGAGAGGACAUGCUGUGACAUUUUAGAAGGAAGCACCUUUGUGACAACCUAGGGUUAGAGUCAGAGUUUCUAAGACAUGGAACCAAAGUUAAAUACUGCUCAGUAGUCUGGGCUUUGUGGGUUUUUUAAGCUUUGACUUCCACUAGGGCAGCAAUCUCAACCUGCGGGUCAUAACCCUUGGGGGUUGAACAACUCGCCUUACACAGGGGUUGCAUAUCAGAUAUUUACAUCACGACUCAUAACAGUAGCAAAAUUAGAGUUAUGGAGUGGCUCGAGGUCACCAUAACAUGAGGAACUAUAUUAAGGGAUUGAAGCAUUAGGAAGGUUGAGAACCACUGCUCAAGGGGAUGUGAGGUGUUCCAUUAGUCUAUUUCCAAAGAAGUAAGUGGUGACAACUGAAAGACACCUACCUGGGGUCUCUGGAGAUUGACCCUAGGGACCCCACCACUCAGUAAACACCCAAGAAGAGUUCCAAGUGCAAAGAAGAAGAGCUGCCAGAGGUGCGGCAGGGACCCUCCUCUUGCUCAGGUUGAGAGAGGCUCCACUCCAGGUUGGUCCUUCUCGCUCAGCCCACCAAGGGAUAGAUAGGUUUCCUAAUAACAGGGGUGGGCUAUAGCCUUGCUCACCUAAUAGCUAUAGGGUAUAGUAACUUUCCAAAAGUGCUAGGCUGAGAGCCCUUACCUCAGCCCCUCCGGAUCAAGCUGGCUGGACCUAUUGCUUGGUCUCUUCUACUGAGAAUGUUCUUAGGAUGACUUUCCAAUUGCAAUGGGACUUAAUCCCUGAUCACACAGUGGGGCUGCCGUUUAGAUAGAAUGAACUAUGACUCCUCUAAAGAAGUGACUGUUUUAGAGACUAUAGGGAUGUCUGAAGCCAAGAAUAUUCUGAGAACAGUGGGAAGACUUAUAGCCACACGAGAGCAAGAUGCUGCCUCGAAUUAGCUAGAGAAUUAAGAAAAGCAGCACCUUGGGGCUGGAGAGAUGGCUCAGUGGUUAAGAGCACUGACUGUUCUUCUGGAGGUCCUGAGUUCAAUUCCUAGCACCCAUAUGGUGGCUCACAACCAUCUCUAAUGGGAUCUGAUACCCUUUCCUGGUGUGUCUGAAGACAGCAACAGUGUACUCAUAUACAUACAAUAAAUAAGUCUUAAAAAAAACAAAAAAACAAAAAAGCCAAAAACCAGCAGCUAAGAAAAGCCUGCUCAGGUUGGUUAAGAGCAGACUCCAGAGUUUGCCUUGAAGAGUCAUUGGUUAACCUGCUAAGAUAAUGGCAAUUUUCAUGCCAGGAAUCUGUUAGGAACUCUGAGCCCUACUGUAGCUCUACAAGUUGGCACUGCUUAGAAGAGAAGCCAAA